CAAAUGAGUGUGGCAUUACUGUGGUAAGUAUUCUGCACGUAUCCGCCAUCACGCUGGAACGUGGGAGGCCUGCACCCCAUGGAGAGGUGGAGAUGGUGAUGGCAGUCACAAUGCUUAUUACUGUUGUGUUACUAAUAAACUACAAAGAUGUGUAACGCACAUGAAGGAACAACAGUUCUGCUUCAGACGGUCUUGGAAUCUCCAGUUCCAAAUACAACAAUCCAAGGGCCCAAAGAAGGCAGAGCAUCUUCAGAGAGAACUAAUACAGAAUGAGCAGUGCUACUGCAAUGGAAUGUGUUGUUUCAAAUAUAUGGACUCAUCUGUUCCUCAAAAUGGCACUGAGAGCAAUUAGAAGAACUGAAGAGGCGAGAGGCCUCCAAUGAUGGCUGCUUAGAAGUUGAAAUGCUGUCGCCUUAGACUAGAAAACAAUGUGCGCUCAUCUCCUGCAGCUUUUAGACCGCACAC